CUACUGAAUUAAUUUCUUGAAAAUCCUAAUCAUUUAUUAACGGUCCCUAAUUCAACGUCUUUACGUGCGGAGCGGUGUCGUUCUGUGUCCGCGUAGCGAACGCGAAACGCCAACCGCUUGGUCAGAGCCGGACCGUUUGUCCGGAGGUGCUUUCAGUCGAAUGUCUGUUGAAUAUCCAACGUCAAACCAACUUCCCAGCGGCGGCUUUCUUGUACCUGUUGAGCCUGGCGCGCACAGAAUGUCCAGCCCGGCCACGACGGUCAACCACACGACAGGAGCUGCAAACGCGCCGCGGGUUUUGCUGUUGCUGCAGGCUGCAGCUGUGGCGUAAACAUUCACCAACGAACUGUGACGUCAUGAGUUACAAACAUGAAGACAGAGUAUUUCGCCUCCAUCACGACCCCUAGAGGCGAGGAUGGGGCACUGCAGGUUACGUCCUUGUCAUAAAGAAGAAGUCAGACCCCAGAUGGAAAUGACAAACAGGAAUCUGAGCGAGAGUUUGACGCUUGUGAAGAUGAUCUAAUUGUUCGAAGAAAAACUUUAGCUUCUUUGUAUUAUCACAUAUCAAACUUGAGGUAAUCACUUCCAGAACAGACAUCAUGAUGAAGCAAGAUAUGCAUGCAGCAGCAGUUUUAAUAAUAAACACAAGACACUUUUCAACUCUUAAGACUAAAUGUUUAAUAAAGGGUUUACAUUUUUUUAAUGGAGAGGAACUAAUAUUAAAAUCGAUCAGUUACAUCUGGAUUUCUCCUGAUGUAAUAGAAUUAAAUAUUUCUGAUGUGAGCGGGACAUAAUUCUGUGCCUCUUUGUCCAGAAAGUAGAGCGUAUCUGUUAUUUGGUUUGGAUUGAAGCCCUCCUCCAUCAGCUUCAACUUUGUGUGCUUGAAUGUGCCGGUUACGUCUAAGGAACUCUGUAACGAUCCCAUUAAGAGGAAAAUGAAGGAGGUGCUUUCACACAAAUGCUGAAAUGCUCCAAAUGCUCCGUUAAAGUCGACGCAUGGAGUUAGACGUACCUGGAUUCUUAAAAACCGGGGCCUCGCGUAGUCCGGCAAGAGGUUUUUAACAUGCUGCCAGACAUCUGUCGAGUCAAACAUCUGUCCGUCUCUGAGGGCGAGUGCUGCCAUCCCCACCCUCCCUUCCUGACCUGGAGGAAAAGACUGCUGUGACUCUGUUCCAUUACAAUGUAAAAUAACCUGGAAAGUCUCCAGUGAAUCCAAAACAUCAGCAAGAAGCAGAGUCAAACAAACCUGGUACUUGAACUCCGUAUACACAGGCUUCUUUAAUGCAGUGAGCCAGGGUCAUGACGUCACCCACCUCAGUUGAAGCCACGUUCUCUCCUUUACAUCUGUUAACAGCGUAUGAAAUAACUAAACGGUGCGUUUAUUCAGUUUCAAGUUGCGCUUUUAGGCGUGAACUCACCUGAACGUGUCUCCAGUGCGAUCAAGGAAGUAAAGGAAGUUGUCCUCGUCCAUGCGCAUGAGGUCCCCGGUGUUGAAGUACACGUCUCCCUUCUCGAACACGUCGUACAGCUUCUUCUUCUCCGUCUGUUCCGGGUCUCCCAGGUAACCGUAGAAUUUAGCCCUCUGGGUGAUGCGGCUCACCAGGAGCCCGGGCUCACCUGGCGAAGGUCCACACAGUUAAAUGUCGCCAAAUGGGAAAAAUGGGAAUAUUUAUUUCCUUCAGUGGGAAACAACCUACGAACCCUUAGCUGCUGCCACGCACAACCCAGAUGAGUCCCGCACAGGUUCUCCGUUAUAAACGUCGUAUUUGAUCAAACCGUACAACCUCUGCAAGACAAGGAGAUCAAAGGAUACAAACUGCCUUUUGAGCUCUCACGUCAAACCGUGGGACGGAGAAGAUGAGCUCUACCCCGUUGAGGAAGGUGUGUCGCCCAAUGGAACCGAUCUUCCCCACGUAGUUGGACAGAGCGAAGUUCCCUUCAGUGGAUCCGUAGGACUCUACGAUGCGAAUGUUGCCGAAGCGCCGAAGGAACUCUCUCCAGACGUCCGCUCGCAUCCCAGUGCCUAUUGCGAUUCUGACCGAGUGACUUCUAUCGUUGAGUUUCUGCCAGAGAAAAUCGUUCAUCGUGUUUCCGUUGUAACGUUCACAGCAGUGCUGUGACCCGCAUCAUACCUUUGGUUUGUUGCAGAGGUAGCGCAUGAUUUCCCCAAUGUACAGUAUGACAGUGACAUUAUAUCUUCUGCAGUCGUCCCAGAACUGAGAUGCAGAAAAUUUACUCUUCAAAGCAACUGUAAAGC